rnacentral:rRNA from 1 species
UGGGGAAUAUUGCACAAUGGGCGCAAGCCUGAUGCAGCCAUGCCGCGUGUAUGAAGAAGGCCUUCGGGUUGUAAAGUACUUUCAGUCGGGAGGAAGGUGUCAAGGUUAAUAACCUUGGCAAUUGACGUUACCGACAGAAGAAGCACCGGCUAACUCCGUGCCAGCAGCCGCGGUAAUACGGAGGGUGCAAGCGUUAAUCGGAAUUACUGGGCGUAAAGCGCACGCAGGCGGUCUGUCAAGUCGGAUGUGAAAUCCCCGGGCUCAACCUGGGAACUGCAUUCGAAACUGGCAGGCUAGAGUCUUGUAGAGGGGGGUAGAAUUCCAGGUGUAGCGGUGAAAUGCGUAGAGAUCUGGAGGAAUACCGGUGGCGAAGGCGGCCCCCUGGACGAAGACUGACGCUCAGGUGCGAAAGCGUGGGGAGCAAACAGG